rnacentral:lncRNA from 1 species
GUACAUUUUGCAGCACGGUUCAUGGGUUCCUUGCCCAACCGGAUAGGUCUGCAGGUUUCUGGUCCAUGAGGGCUUUUUGACUCUGGAAAGGAGAAACAACGCGCGCACUUGCGCAGCAUACGGAUCAUGGGAUAUCUGAUUGUAUCAGGAUAUGGUUUUAUUAAAAAAAAAAGUAUCAGGAUAUGGGCACUGUCACUUGUUCCACUGAAGAUAACAUUUCAGAACACCGUCCUCAAUUCUUUUUGGAACAAUGGCCAGGAUUGUUUCCUCGGUAAGUUGCUGAACCUUUGGGGUGAAUUGCACUGCAGUUCCCCCCC